rnacentral:sRNA from 1 species
UCGCUCUGAUGGCUUCCUCUCUCUCGUGC